ensembl:lncRNA
AGGGUACCAGUAUAUCACCAUAUGGUUCCGUGCACACCCCAUUUUGUGCCCCACAAUAUGCACAAAACGACCUUGCCAUCCAAAAGAUGACAAAAAUGCUUGCCGAAGUGCUGGUGGUUGUCAAUGAACUGUCAAGGGAUGUGCAGAUCAUGGGUGAAUUAGCAGAGGCUAGAAUGACCCCAUCUUGUGGACCAGGGCCAGCCACAAGCCAAGAGAUGUUCCCCAUUCAGCUGCCUAUCACCAACGAAGAUGACUUCAAUGAGGCCGAAACAUUGUUGGGAACUGAGCCAGUCCGACAAAAGAUGAUUGCCCGCUUGGCCUUGGUGGGAGGCACUAGCUCCACAUGUAUGGUAAGGAGGAUGCUUGCAACGGUUUUGACCAACGGCCUGGCCUGCAAGUUCAAUUGGGCAGGAAAAACCUGCACACAAAGGGAUGCCAAGCAGCCCUUCAAAGACACAGCCCUGCAAGACUGCAUG